GCCCUUUUCCGGUUGAUCCUGCCGGAGGCCAUUGCUAUUGGGAUCCGAUUUAGCCAUGCUAGUUGUACGAGUUCAGACUCGUAGCGAAUAGCUCAGUAACACGUGGCCAAACUACCCUUCGGAGCGCGAUAACCUCGGGAAACUGAGGCUAAUAGCGCAUCCCACACUCAGCCUGGAAUGGCGAGUGUGGCAAACGCUCCGGCGCCGAAGGAUGUGGCUGCGGCCGAUUAGGUAGACGGUGGGGUAACGGCCCACCGUGCCGAUAAUCGGUACGGGUCAUGAGAGUGAGAACCCGGAGACGGAAUCUGAGACAAGAUUCCGGGCCCUACGGGGCGCAGCAGGCGCGAAACCUUUACACUGCACGCCAGUGCGAUAAGGGGAUCCCAAGUGCACAGGCAUAGAGCCUGUGCUUUUGUCCACCGUAGGGAGGUGGACGAAUAAGGGCUGGGCAAGACCGGUGCCAGCCGCCGCGGUAAUACCGGCAGCCCGAGUGAUGGCCGAUCUUAUUGGGCCUAAAGCGUCCGUAGCUGGCCGCGCAAGUCCAUCGGGAAAUCUCCCCGCUCAACGGGGAGCCGCCCGGUGGAAACUGCGUGGCUUGGGACCGGAAGGCGCGACGGGUACGUCCGGGGUAGGAGUGAAAUCCCGUAAUCCUGGACGGACCGCCGAUGGCGAAAGCACGUCGCGAGAACGGAUCCGACAGUGAGGGACGAAAGCCAGGGUCUCGAACCGGAUUAGAUACCCGGGUAGUCCUGGCCGUAAACGAUGCCUGUUAGGUGUGGCUCCCACUAC
rnacentral:rRNA from 1 species